CCUGCUGUUCCUCCAGCAGUAGCCUAAGAGUGCAGGCAACAUUGGUAACAAGUUGUCUGAAGCCACUCUGACAAUGUAACCCAAUCCGAAAGGAUGAAGCCAAGCCCGUGAGGGGGAAGCGGAACUGCGAGCAUUACGCGGUAGGGGGC
rfam:Freshwater sediment metagenome lwMethane_BCGO24922_x1, whole genome shotgun sequence.